UCCUGCCACUAGUAAAAUACAGACCUAAAUCCUGCCUGACAUAUCUAACUUUGUUUCUAGAGUGUAACUGAGGUCUCCUCUCCCACCUUGUUCCAAGAGUUCCACUGGGAUUUCCUGUCAUGGGCAGCAGUGUGAUCUGUUCCUGCUCAGGUU
rnacentral:lncRNA from 1 species